rnacentral:lncRNA from 1 species
AAAAAGUGGAGAAAAAAAAAUAAGAAGAGUAAGAAGAAGAAGGGGAGGACAAAGAAGAAUAUGAGUAUGAAGAAGAGGAAGAGGACGGGGAAGAACAAGAAUAAGAAGAGGGUAUUUAUAUUCAUUUAUGAAAAGAUAGUUUUGGGAUAUUAUAAAAUUUUAAAAUAAAAUUAUAAAUAAUAAAGAGGUGAUUAUAAACAGUAAU